rnacentral:tRNA from 1 species
GGCGGGGUAGCUCAGUUGGUAGAGCGCUGGACUCAUAAUCCAGAUGUCGAUGGUUCGAGUCCAUCCCACCGCAACCA